rnacentral:rRNA from 1 species
UACGUAGGGGGCAAGCGUUGUCCGGAAUCACUGGGCGUAAAGCGCGCGCAGGCGGUAUCUCACGUCUGGGGUGAAAGCCCAGGGCUCAACCCUGGAACGGCCUUGGAAACGGAGGUACUUGAGCGUCGGAGAGGCAAGGGGAAUUCCACGUGUAGCGGUGAAAUGCGUAGAGAUGUGGAGGAACACCAGUGGCGAAGGCGCCUUGCUGGCCGAUUGCUGACGCUGAGGCGCGAAAGCGUGGGGAGCAAACAGG